UACCUCUUGCUAAUGUAUUUUAGAUGCGUUUCACGUGGAGUUUUGCCACUAGGUACAUCCUCUGCAAGGAGCUGGUUCAGAGGAGAUUCCAGAGUCAGCCCCGACAGCGGAUGAACAAGGCAGAAUGGAGAGGAGAAGGUGACGAUAGCUCAGUUUAUGCCAGAUGCAAUAUUUUUCUGAGGAAGGAACUGCACAUAACCAGGGCAGGAGCCUUCAGCCCGACUGCAGGCAGAGCAGCGAUCUAUCCCCGCUCCCCACCUGCCCCCCGGCACCCCUCCGCAGGCAGCCGCAGUGCUCUGUUCAUGCACCAACUAGCAGGCACCGUCUGUGGCUCCCUGCCCUCCUGUCCCACAGCCAGGACAGGGCCUUAAACAACUUCUAACGCUGGGCUGGGCGAUGGGGAGACUGGCCAGGCUGGUGGUGGGUCCGUUCUGUGCCUGGAACUGUACAGGAGGUGGUCCAUCUGUCCACUGAAAGAUAACAAACAGCAUGAAAAUCCCACAGCCGCUGCCUGGGGAGGGGAGGAAUGGC